GACGAACGCUGGCGGCGUGCUUAACACAUGCAAGUCGAACGGAAGGCCCUGCUUUUGUGGGGUGCUCGAGUGGCGAACGGGUGAGUAACACGUGAGUAACCUGCCCUUGACUUUGGGAUAACUUCAGGAAACUGGGGCUAAUACCGGAUAGGAGCUCCUGCUGCAUGGUGGGGGUUGGAAAGUUUCGGCGGUUGGGGAUGGACUCGCGGCUUAUCAGCUUGUUGGUGGGGUAGUGGCUUACCAAGGCUUUGACGGGUAGCCGGCCUGAGAGGGUGACCGGCCACAUUGGGACUGAGAUACGGCCCAGACUCCUACGGGAGGCAGCAGUGGGGAAUGUUGCACAAUGGGCGGAAGCCUGACGCAGCAACGCCGCGUGCGGGAUGACGGCCUUCGGGUUGUAAACCGCUUUCGCCUGUGACGAAGCGUGAGUGACGGUAAUGGGUAAAGAAGCACCGGCUAACUACGUG
rnacentral:rRNA from 1 species